rnacentral:rRNA from 1 species
CGUAGGGUGCGAGCGUUAAUCGGAAUUACUGGGCGUAAAGCGUGCGCAGGCGGUUUAGUAAGACAGGCGUGAAAUCCCCGGGCUCAACCUGGGAACUGCGCUUGUGACUGCUAAGCUAGAGUACGGCAGAGGGGGGUGGAAUUCCACGUGUAGCAGUGAAAUGCGUAGAGAUGUGGAGGAACACCAAUGGCGAAGGCAGCCCCCUGGGUCGAUACUGACGCUCAUGCACGAAAACGUGGGUAGCAAACAGGAUUAGAUACCCUGGUAGUCCACGCCCUAAACGAUGUCAACUAGGUGUUGGGAGGGUAAAACCUUUUAGUACCGGAGCUAACGCGUGAAGUUGACCGCCUGGGGAGUACGGCCGCAAGGUUA